rnacentral:rRNA from 1 species
GACGGAUGGGGCUAGCGUUGUUCGGAAUUACUGGGCGUAAAGGGCGCGUAGGCGGCCAAUUAAGUUAGACGUGAAAGCCCUAGGCUUAACCUAGGAAUUGCGUUUAAUACUGGUUGGCUAGAGUUCGGUAGAGGAAAGCGGAAUUCCUAGUGUAGAGGUGAAAUUCGUAGAUAUUAGGAAGAACACCAGAGGCGAAGGCGGCUUUCUGGACCGAUACUGACGCUGAGGCGCGAAAGCGUGGGGAGCAAACAGG